GACCCCAGGUCAGGCGGGGACACCCGCUGAGUUUAAGCAUAUCAAUAAGCGGAGGAGAAGAAACUUACAAGGAUUCCCCUAGUAACGGCGAGCGAACCGGGAUCAGCCCACUUUGAAAAUCGGGGGGCU
rnacentral:rRNA from 1 species